rnacentral:rRNA from 1 species
GACGAACGCUGGCGGCGUGCUUAACACAUGCAAGUCGAACGAAAAGACGGGAAGAGCUUGCUCUUUUCAGAAUUGAGUGGCAAACGGGUGAGUAACACGUAAACAACCUGCCUUCAGGAUGGGGACAACAGACGGAAACGACUGCUAAUACCGAAUAAGUUCCAAGAGCCGCAUGGCCCAUGGAAGAAAAGGUGGCCUCUACCUGUAAGCUAUCGCCUGAAGAGGGGUUUGCGUCUGAUUAGCUGGUUGGAGGGGUAACGGCCCACCAAGGCGACGAUCAGUAGCCGGUCUGAGAGGAUGAACGGCCACACUGGAACUGAGACACGGUCCAGACUCCUACGGGAGGCAGCAGUGGGGAAUCUUCCGCAAUGGGCGAAAGCCUGACGGAGCAACGCCGCGUGAGUGAUGACGGCCUUCGGGUUGUAAAACUCUGUGAUCCGGGACGAAAAGGCAGAGUGCGAAGA